rnacentral:lncRNA from 1 species
AAGAAGUUGUUUUCCCCUGUGACCUCCUAUCUGUAGAGAUUGUGAGAAAAAACAUCAAUUUUCUAAGAUAUAUAUCCUAGAGAAUUUUAAUAGUCUUAUGCAUAGAUUUGGAGGGAUGUAAGUCAUCUCCCUAAGGCCAGGAACUUAGAAAUGAAGUCCAUCCAUCUCACGAAAUCAAUGGUUUUACAAGGACUGGAAAGGGUUCCUCAGUAGCUAAGUUCCAGAGCAUUCCUUUCAAGAUACACACUGAAUGGUCUCCGGGGAAUAUCUUUUGUUUUUAAGGAAAGGAAUGUAAAAGUAAAUGCUCGUGUUGUGGACAGAAAUGUUACUAUUUUUCGGAUGAAUUGAAGAACUUUGAAGAAAGUAAAAAAAGCUGCAAGGAAAUGGACUCCACACUUCUUAAGAUAGAAGAUAGGGAAGAACUGAACUUCAUUCAAAGCAGACUAUCCUAUUUCUAUUGGAUUGGAUUAUCUCGUAAAGGAACCAGAAAUCAAUGGACAUGGGAAGAUAAGUCAUUGCCUUUUCUAAAAUCUGAUUGGAUUGAGUCAAACGAAGGAAACUGUGCAUAUAUUAAAGCAACAAAGAUGUCUGCUUCUGACUGUUCCAGAUUCAGGCGCUUCAUUUGUGAGAAGUAGGUAGCUUGUCUUGCUACCUAAUGAAACAACAGCCAAAGACACUAAAAACUCAGACCCUUGGAAGUCCAGUCUGUAUAUCUCUCAUUUCAGAAUGCUUUGUUAUGGGCUGCACCUAUAUUUUAGCUUGGUAGAGAUACAUUGUGGACUCUCCACUUCUGCCUCUUUCAAACAUAAAUCCCAGAUCACACCAGUUACGAGCACAGGUUGGCAGAGUGAGAAAGUAUCAGUGCUUCUCAUGAACUUUACGACUGUGUAGUCAAUUUCUGCAACUCACACAGAUUUAGUAAGUAAUCUUGCAAACUGUUGUCACUGCCAUGUACAUUUUACCUGGGAUUUAAUGCCAAGAGUAAUUGAAGUCAUUAUUCUGUAUGAAUUGUAUAUGCAUUUGUUUGAUUUCUUACUUUUUAUGAGAAAGACA